UUACGUGACUAUAACAAGCACCCACCAGCAGUAAGCAGAACCCGAAGAGCUGUCAUUUACCUCCUCCUGCUUCUUCUUCUUGAGUUUCAGAAACAGAGCAAGAGCAACGAUUUAGUAGACAGUCAUCGUCCGUAGAAAAGAGGAGACAUAUACAGAGCCAGCUACAGCCUGCGUGCGACCAGCUCCACCACGUGGAGGAACUGUGCGACGACGGUGGACGUGCUCUCAAGGUCUUCGCGCGACGAGGACGACGAAGAAGCUCCCCGAUGGGCUGCUCUCGAGGAACUUCCCACCUUCGACCGUCUCCGGAAAGGGAUUCUGUCGGUUUCGCGUGGCGGCUUUAAUGAGAUUGACAUCCAGAACCUGGGCUUUCAUGAGAGGAAGAGGUUGAUGGAGAGGUUAGUGAGGGUCGAGAAGUUCUUGCUGAAGCUCAGGAACCGCAUUGAUAGAGUUGGAAUUGAUGUUUCUACAAUUGAAGUCAGAUUUGAGCAUUUGAACGUGGAGGCUGAGACUCAUGAAGGAAGCAGAGCUUUGCCAUCCUUCAUUAAUUUCUGCACUAAUAUUCUAGAGAUUUUAGGGCUGGAAAUAUGUGCUGAUACCAUGUUUGGAAUGGAAUGUUGAGGGGUAUUUUUGGAGGACAACGGAAGCGUGUGACCAUAGGUUACUUUUAGUAACUGAAAAUGUUUGAUUCUCUAACCUUUAAUUUCAAGGUCAAGUUGUGUACUAGGGCCACGUGAACUCGUCUUGGAUUUCUUUGAAUCCAUGGGAUUUGAAUGCCCCAGGAGGAAAGGUGUUGCCGAUUUCUUGUAGGAAGUAAAAUCAAGAAAAGAUCAGCAUCGGUAUUGGGCACGCAAAGACAAGCCUUACACUUUUGUUGCGGUUUGGGAGGGGUGGAGGCAUUUUAGUCAUUUCACGUGGGAAGAAAACUCGGGGAUGAACAGUAGAAAUAUUUCAAUUUUGAAACUGAAUCUGAAGAGUAGCAGACUUUGAGUGAGAUUAGACUUUAACAGUUAAAUAGAAUUACAAACAAAAUAAAUGAGUUUAGGGAAGAGAAUAAUAACACAUAAUUUAUAGUGGUUCGGUUUAAAUCAAGCCUACGUCUACUUUCCCAUGCUAAUAGCAUUCUGCUGGAUUCCACUAUGUAAUCAACAAGAGAUUAUAACUUUGAGUGCAAACAUUUAGUAGUAGAUCACACUAUCUCACUAAGUCACUCUUUUGGUAUUUCUCUCACGAUCACAAACGUUUAA